UCCCUGGUGGCCUAGUGGUUAGGAUUCCAGGCUUUCAUUGCCAUAGCCCAGGUUCAAUCCCUGGUCAGGGAA
rnacentral:tRNA from 1 species